AACGAACGCUGGCGGCAUGCCUGACACAUGCAAGUCGAACGAGACCUUCGGGUCUAGUGGCGCACGGGUGCGUAACGCGUGGGAACCUGCCCUUAGGUUCGGAAUAACUCCCCGAAAGGGGUGCUAAUACCGGAUAAUGUCUUCGGACCAAAGAUUUAUCGCCUUUGGAUGGGCCCGCGUUGGAUUAGCUAGUUGGUAGGGUAAAAGCCUACCAAGGCGACGAUCCAUAGCUGGUCUGAGAGGAUGAUCAGCCACACUGGGACUGAGACACGGCCCAGACUCCUACGGGAGGCAGCAGUGGGGAAUAUUGGACAGUGGGCGAAAGCCUGAUCCAGCAAUGCCGCGUGAGUGAUGAAGGCCUUAGGGUUGUAAAGCUCUUUUACCCGGGAUGAUAAUGACAGUACCGGGAGAAUAAGCUCCGGCUAACUCCGUG
rnacentral:rRNA from 1 species